AGGACCGGGUCGUACGUACCGCUGGUGUAUCUGUUGUGCCGCCAGGUGCAAUGCAGAGUAGCUAUGUACGGAAAGGAUAAACGCUGAAAGCAUCUAAGCGUGAAACCUGCCUCAAGAUGAGUUUACUUUUAAGGGCCGUCAGAGACUAUGACGUUGAUAGGCUACAGGUGUAAAGGUGGUAACAUCAAAGCCGAGUAGUACUAAUUGCCCGUACGCUUUAAUUUUUUU
rnacentral:rRNA from 1 species